CGUCUUUGUCUGUUGGAAUUACUAACAAGUGAGCAACGUGCCAUUCAGCAUUCACAAAGACGUGGAUGUAUCACAAGGAAGGGAGUUACGCCCGAGUGCACUGCCUCAAGACUUUUCUUAAGAGAGAAAAAUUUGUCAAUGGUCAAAGUUAGGGAGGUAGGGAGGAAAUAUACUAAGAGCAAUGAACGUGUGUGUGUUUUAAUGUGUGUGUGCAUGUGUGUGUGUAUAAGGGGGAGGGAGAGUAUGUGUGUGUGUAAGGGGGGGAGAGUAUGUGUGCAUGUGUGCGUGUGUGUGUAAGGGGUAGACAGAGGCAGAUCGUCAGACAUACCCACUUGAUUUUGGAGUCUUACUAACUGUUAUUCACCGCUACAUCCUAUCCCCUCCGACGCGCGGGAAACUCAGCCUGCCCAGAAACCAAGGGCGCUGCUAAUUUUCCAGGGUGUGCACGGAGGUUAGCCUACUUUUGCCCCAAGUAUCCCUAAGGUCACAUGGAUAACUUGCCCUCCUUACUGUGUCUCUGCCUGGCUCUUCUCCCAUCGAUGCACAUGGGGGAGUUCCCACAGUUCAGAAACCAUCCAGAGGGAAUGACACAUAAUUACCUGUGAGGACACGGGUACCUGCCAGUCCAUCUCCCUGCUGCCCAUCUGCCUCUGUUCCUCUCUGUCACUCCUGCACUUUGGGCCCCACCAUGGGGGGCAGAAGAGGACAUGGCUGGCAUUUGACUCAUGACAACUCUAACCCUAACUCAAGGUGCAAGCUUGCCAAUGGCAGGCCCUUACCCGGCUCUAAGAGAAACAAUUAGUUCAUUCAGGGCAGGGGGUGAGGUUAAAACUGAUCAUUGUAAUAUUCUGUAACUUAAAAAGUGGUUGAUUUCACUAAUUCUUAUUUCUAAGAAAUCAUUUAAUCAGAGCUAGAUACCUACCGAAUCUGAUCAUGAAUUUUCGUACUUGCAUAUUUCUUCAUUCCAAGAGUAAGAAAACAUAAGAUUUUUCUUUUUCUUUUCUUUUUUAUUUUGAGACGGAGUUUUGCUCUUGUUGCCCAGGCGGUAGUGCAGUGGCACAAUCUCAGCUCACUGCAACCUCUGCCUCCGGGGUUCAAGCGAUUCUCCUGUCUCAGUCUCCUGAGUAGCUGUGAUUAUAGGCGCCCACCACCAUGCCUGGCUAAUUUUUGUAUUUUUAUUAGAGAUGAGGUUUCACCAUGUUGGCCAGGCUNNNNNNNNNNNNNCUGACCUCAGGUGAUCUGCCCACCUUGGCCUCCCAAAGUGCUGGGAUUACAGGCAUGAGCCACUGCACCUGGCAGAUUUUUCUUCUUUGUAUAAUUGGUUAUCUCUGGCAGCCAGAAAGAAUUCAGAGCCUCUUGAAGCUCUGCACGUGUUGCUCAGGUGGAGAGCUAGAUUAUGGAGUGAUGCCUAGCCACUGUUACGCUCCUUCUACUUAAAAGAAUGGCUAUUUUUCCAGUUUAUGAUUUCUGAAUUAUACAGCAGAUUGCAGUGCCAUUGGAAGAAUAACCCUGCAUGUUCCUCCUCCCCUUCAUCUCCCACUUUUAGUGAGAAAGUACUUA
rnacentral:lncRNA from 1 species